GAGAAAUUGGUUAAACUAAUAAUACUAGCUUGUCAUGCUAGAGUUACUCGUUAGAGUAUUUCUUU
rnacentral:tRNA from 2 species